rnacentral:ncRNA from 1 species
UAAAUAGCUGUGAGCAGGACGAGUACAUGUGUACACUUAAGUACAGCGAGCCGGUGACCGGAUUUUCCGGAGGUGUGAUGACCGGCCUUGAGAGCAUAUGGAAUGGACCUGUGAGCUGCCCACCAAACGCAAAUGCAAGUAGGCUGGGCCGGAUGCCACCGUUAACAGGCUAGGGUAUCGGAUGCAGUAUAUCCCGUACCUGAAUAAGGGAAAGUGUUAGGCUUUUCAAAUAGGGUGGUAUCGCGACCAUUUCGCCCCUGGGGUGAAAUGGUCUUUUUAUUUUCCGCCUGCACUUUCCAAUUUAGGGUGGUACCGCGAACCAUUUCGCCCCUUUU